GAAUUUCACUAGGGGAGCCAAUGGCUGAGACUGAACACUCGUUCUACACCCUUUGAACCUGAUCUGGAUCAUACCAGCGGAGGGAAGCUGAAAGAAACGUUUU
rnacentral:ncRNA from 2 species